CCUACGGGUGGCUGCAGUGAGGAAUAUUGGUCAAUGGGCGCGAGCCUGAACCAGCCAAGUAGCGUGAAGGAUGACUGCCCUACGGGUUGUAAACUUCUUUUAUAAAGGAAUAAAGUGAGGCACGUGUGCCUUUUUGUAUGUACGUUAUGAAUAAGGAUCGGCUAACUCCGUGCCAGCAGCCGCGGUAAUACGGAGGAACCGAGCGUUAUCCGGAUUUAUUGGGGUUAAAGGGAGCGUAGAUGGGUUGUUAAGGCAGUUGUCAAAGUUUGCGGCUCACCCGUAAAAUUGCCAUUGUUACUGGCAGUCUUGAGUACAGUUGAGGUAGGCGGCCUUCGUGGUGUAGCGGUGA
rnacentral:rRNA from 1 species